rnacentral:lncRNA from 1 species
GCAUUCUCACCUAUAUAACCAAACCCCAUCCUUCCAUUGGAUUCAUCAAAGCAUAGCUCGUGUUAUCUUACUCUCUACAAAUCCCACUACAAACUUGUUGGUUCUAUAUUACAGUAACAUAAAAAAUGAGUUCAGCGAGUAAAGCUUGGUUGGUUGCCGCUGCUAUCGGAGGUGUUGAGGCGUUGAAAGAUCAAGGGUUCUGUAGGUGGAACUACACCUUGAGAUCCCUACACCACCAUGCCAAGAACCAUGUCAGAUCAGCCUCUCAGGCCAAGAAGCUUUCUUCUUCAUCCUCAGCCAUGAUCUCAAAUAUAGUCAAGGAAGAGAAGGCAAAACAGUCAGAGGAGUCUUUAAGAAAAGUCAUGUACUUGAGUUGUUGGGGUCCAAACUGAAGCUAUGAAUCUAGUAGAUGAAAUCGAGGGACUUAGUUUGUAGGAGUAAAUCCUUGCAAGCUUAUGCAAAUUGUAAAAUUUGAUGCUCAUUUGGAGCUGUAGAGGCAUUGAAGGACCAGGGUUUUUGCAGAUGGACCUACACCAUGAGAUCAUUACACAAACAUGCCAAGAAUAAUACGAGGUCAAUCUCUCAGGCCAGGAAGCUUUCUUCUUCAUCUUUUGCUAUGGUUUCGAAUAAAUUGAGGGGAUCAAGCCAAUACGAGGAGUCUCUGAGGAAAGUCAUGUACUUGAGUUGUUGGGGUCCAAAUUAAAUGAGUUUAGAAGUUUGCCAUGAGAAUCUGAUGCCUUAUGCAGGCUGAAGCUGGUCCAUUGAGAAGAACAUAGCCAAAGCCAUGAUUAUGGUUUGUGAGAGAAAAUUUGCGGGGCUUGAUUAGUGAUUGAUGCAAGCCUAGUGUUAACUGUAGCUAGUCUGACUGCCAUCUCAUGAUCAGCUUGUAAUUACACCAUUGCUAUACGCAACACGAAAAUUUUGUGGAACAAAAUAUGUUGUCACCAUCUUCCUAUCUUUUGCUAUCCCUUUUUAAUUGAUGUCCCAUGCAAUCUCAAAAAUCUUGCUUGUUCUUUGAUCAUUUCGUUGUGAGAUGUUGCCACCAAAUUUUCAUGGUUUCUGUGACAUGGGCUAAAUGACAUUCAAACAUCCUGCUUAAUUUCGAGCAUGGAUUCAGCCUUUCCUUGAUAGAUCAUGGUUUGAUGCUUAACGUCAAGCAACAAGAUUGGAAACAUGUGCAUUUUCAAUUAAGAAUUCUGGAAUUUCAAAACUUUUUCUGCAGAUCUGUCUUCCAAAUUCCUACCUGUCUAUCAGUGUGACCACUUCUCACUUCAAGCAAAGCGAUUAACUAUUUCUGUGCAUGGAUAGUAGGGCUUCGAUAGGAUUUUAGAGGCUUACCUUGAAUGGUGGGCAGAAUUUUUUAGAGCAAAGGACAUUUAUAGACUUAAAUCUUGAAGUAAGGGAUAAUUUCUUCAUCUUCUUCGCCAUCAUAUCCUCCUUAACCAUGCUACUAUUCUAACACCCACACAUACACAUGGUUAUUCAAGGCUCUUUCUCUUCUACUUAAAUUGAUUUAAGCAUUGAAGGAUCAAUCAUUUUCAUCAAAAGACUUGUUUUGAAGGUUAUCAUCCAUCCCAAUACUUUCUCAAGCAGGUUUUAGUCCAACUCAACCUAAAGAGUAACUAAUUCUUUUGGAAGGGGUUUCUACAACUUCAUCACUGUUAGCUUGAAAUUGUACUCACCUAAUUAACCCUCGUUUUAAAGUUUGUGCAUGAUUUUUUUAUAUUCAAAAGUUAGCAUUCUGAGUUUUUUUUUUAAUGUAUAAUGUGUUUAUAGGAUAUGGCUUCUAAAAAUAAUUUAAAAAUAAUGGUGCUAAUUGGUGCUUACGUAUUUUCUUUUCCCAAAUCUUAUAUAAACCUUCUGUGUAAGUUGAUGGCGAGUAGGAUUUUUAUAAAUCUUCAUGUCUGGAUGUAAGUAAUUUGCUCAAUUUUGUAAGUUCCUGAAAAGGGAUCGAUUCAAGCUUUAUGUGAAUACAUGUUUACCAUAAAAUAAAAUAUGAAAAAGAUGAAUUCCAAGAAAUCGAGAGAGAAAGAGAGAGAGAGAGAGAGCUAUCCUCAGUCCCACACUUUCUUUCAGUCCUUACAAGUGGCAAAAGCACUUCAAUGAGAAGUGCCACCAAAUUGUGACAUGCAUGACUCACCACCCUUCAGCUAUGCUCCUCCUGAUACGUUGGCUUGGAUUUAUUUAUUUUACGAAGCAAAACCGUGUGCUCAUUUCAAGGCAGGCAGAGAAGCUUUUGACUUGCUGUGGAGUGAAGGGCAAAAAAAUCUAGCCAUCCCAAGAACCCGAUUUUGUCCCCACCUUCUUGUUGUCGCCAUGUGGUAGUUGAAUGUCAAUACAGUCAUCUCACCAUAAAAAAAUACCAUUGGCUUUUGCUGGUUUCCUCACCCAAAACCACCAGCAGGAAGCCUUUAGCCUCAGGUUUUUUCCUAAACUUUUGGCAUUCUCACCUAUAUAACCAAACCCCAUCCUCCCAUCGGAUUCAUCAAAGCAUAGCUCGUGUUUUCUUACUCUCCACAAAUCCCACUACAAACUUGUUGGUUCUAUAUUACAGUAACAUAAAAAAUGAGUUCAGCGAGUAAAGCUUGGUUGGUUGCCGCUGCUAUCGGAGGUGUUGAGGCGUUGAAAGAUCAAGGGUUCUGUAGGUGGAACUACACCUUGAGAUCCCUACACCACCAUGCCAAGAACCAUGUCAGAUCAGCCUCUCAGGCCAAGAAGCUUUCUUCUUCAUCCUCAGCCAUGAUCUCAAAUAUAGUCAAGGAAGAGAAGGCAAAACAGUCAGAGGAGUCUUUAAGAAAAGUCAUGUACUUGAGUUGUUGGGGUCCAAACUAAAGUAAUGAAUCUAGGAGAUGAAAUCGAGGGACUUAGUUUAUAGGAGUAAAUCGUAGCAAGCUUAUGCAAAUUGUAAAUUUUGAUGCUCAUUUGAUGAAAUCGAACAUUAUCGCAUGUUUCUACCAUUUCUUUUGGUAACGCGCAGUGCAUUUCCCUAGUGAGUAAAUUUAACAAAGCUCUUUUCUAGUUUUCAAGUGGAAUAAACAGGCAAUUAAUUUCAAUAUGAGAUAUGAAAUUCAACUCGAGGCUAAAAUCUCUUUCUCCC